CUUAAGUUGUUGGUAUACAUUUAUGAGAUUGUGAUAAUAUAAUGGUUUGGCAUUGGAAAAAUUAAAAGCAAACAAAACAUAAAGAGAACACUUGUUAAGAUGCACCAAUCCAUUCCUUUUCUUUAUUCGUAAAGAAAUUAUGCAAAUCUCAACAUAAUUAAUAAGACAGCGUUUGUGAUGAUAUCAAAACUAGUAAAGUCGCUGCUGCAUAUCGUAUUUAGAACAUAAAGUAGCCAGCAACGGCGGCUGCUCCAACUCCAACAAUAGCCGAGAUCUCAAGAGCGGCACCGCUGCUGGGACUAGGAGCACUGGCCUGAGAAGGAGGGGAGCUAGCAUCUCCAGGUGAACCUGAGGGGCUGCCACCGGGUGCGGGGGCGGGGGCCGCAGCAGCAGUGGAAACCAAGGCAAAGAGGGCCAUGGUGACCAAAGCAAGAACAACAAUUUGGCGGGCCAUUGAGUUUAUUAGAAAGGAAAAGACUGGGGGACGGAGAAAUGCAGUUGAUCUCUAAGGCUGUUGUAUUAAACAAUAGAGAAGCACUACACUACACAGU
rnacentral:lncRNA from 1 species